rnacentral:rRNA from 1 species
AGAAUAAGGAUCGGCUAACUCCGUGCCAGCAGCCGCGGUAAUACGGAGGAUCCAAGCGUUAUCCGGAAUCAUUGGGUUUAAAGGGUCCGUAGGCGGUUUAAUAAGUCAGUGGUGAAAGCCCAUCGCUCAACGGUGGAACGGCCAUUGAUACUGUUAAACUUGAAUUAUUAGGAAGUAACUAGAAUAUGUAGUGUAGCGGUGAAAUGCUUAGAGAUUACAUGGAAUACCAAUUGCGAAGGCAGGUUACUACUAAUGGAUUGACGCUGAUGGACGAAAGCGUGGGUAGCGAACAGGAUUAGAUACCCUGGUAGUCCACGCCGUAAACGAUGGAUACUAGCUGUUGGAAGCAAUUUCAGUGGCUAAGCGAAAGUGAUAAGUAUCCCACCUGGGGAGUACGUUCGCAAGAAUGAAACUCAAAGGAAUUGACGGGGGCCCGCACAAGCGGUGGAGCAUGUGGUUUAAUUCGAUGAUACGCGAGGAACCUUACCAAGGCUUAAAUGUAGAUUGACCGGUUUGGAAACAGAUCUUUCGCAAGACAAUUUACAAGGUGCUGCAUGGUUGUCGUCAGCUCGUGCCGUGAGGUGUCAGGUUAAGUCCUAUAACGAGCGCAACCCCUGUUGUUAGUUGCCAGCGAGUCAAGUCGGGAACUCUAACAAGACUGCCAGUGCAAACUGUGAGGAAGGUGGGGAUGACGUCAAAUCAUCACGGCCCUUACGCCUUGGGCUACACACGUGCUACAAUGGCCGGUACAGAGAGCAGCCACUGGGCGACCAGGAGCGAAUCUAUAAAACCGGUCACAGUUCGGAUCGGAGUCUGCAACUCGACUCCGUGAAGCUGGAAUCGCUAGUAA